UCCGUUAUGGUGUAGUGGCUAACAUUAUCGCCUCUCAUGACUCGCCAGCUAGAUCUUGAACGCGAUAGCCCAGGGUUCGAUUCCCUGUAACGGAA